rnacentral:rRNA from 1 species
GACGAACGCUGGCGGCGUGCCUAAUACAUGCAAGUAGAACGCUGAAGAGAGGAGCUUGCUCUUCUUGGAUGAGUUGCGAACGGGUGAGUAACGCGUAGGUAACCUGCCUGGUAGCGGGGGAUAACUAUUGGAAACGAUAGCUAAUACCGCAUAAAAUGGAUUAUCGCAUGAUAAUGCAUUGAAAGGUGCAAAUGCAUCACUACCAGAUGGACCUGCGUUGUAUUAGCUAGUUGGUGGGGUAACGGCUCACCAAGGCGACGAUACAUAGCCGACCUGAGAGGGUGAUCGGCCACACUGGGACUGAGACACGGCCCAGACUCCUACGGGAGGCAGCAGUAGGGAAUCUUCGGCAAUGGACGGAAGUCUGACCGAGCAACGCCGCGUGAGUGAAGAAGGUUUUCGGAUCGUAAAGCUCUGUUGUAAGAGAAGAACGAGUGUGAGAGUGGAAAGUUCACACUGUGACGUAUCUACCAGAAAAGGACGCAUU